UGCUAGAAGUGCUUACUUGUUAAGCAGCUCAGUGGUGAUCCUGUUUGUUCUGAGUGCAGCAGCAGAACGCUCCAGCUGUGACCUCUUUUCUGGUGCUGCUAGAGGAGUCUGGAUGGGGUAAUCUAAUCCACUGUCCUGCAUUUGUUAGUUCCCUAAGGCCAGCUCUGUAUGAAUCUGCUUUACCCAGAUGAGCCCCUGCAAUCCUACUUUAACAAUGAAGUUAUGAGCUCUAGCCCACGGCUGAGUCCUAAUUCUCAACUCCCACAAGCCCCAGUUGCUCAGCGCACUGUGUCCCCUCCAAUUGCCCUCUGCUUGGUGACAAUUUGUGGAUCCAGAGCUCUCUCAGAUGUGUCCUGGAGAAAGGCUUCCCUGCCUGCGUGGCAGACACCCACCUGUGCCUUUGGGACUCUGCACUGAUAAGCUGCUGUGUCAAUGAGGGAACCCAGCCAGGAGCUCCCUCGCUCUGGGAAAGCCCCGCACGUUCACUCACUUCAAGGAGUCUGGGUCUACAUGAAGGACAAGCCUGUUGAGGAUCAAUCUCAGAGAUGCAGCAGUGGCAUCUCAGGAAUCAUCUACUGAUGCCUCUGCCCAGGGAGGAACUGGGAACGGUGUGUGCUGCCUAACCACCACAGCAACUCUGCUCAGCACUCAGCAAGCUACAACAUACCUGCAGAGGAUGCUACCGGCAGACCCUGACGCUGCAAGGGAGGGCAUGCCACCCUCUUUCAGGAUCAGGCCUCAGUCCACAGGCAGAGAAGUGACCUAAUGGAUGUUUACACAGUGAGGAAGGGGAUCAAGUGGGAGAGACUGUUCACCCUGGCAAGAACUAGGCCCUGAAUUAAUGCUGCAAAGGGGAACAAGCAGUCAGGGACGCUCAGAUGAAACAAGAGAGCAUGAGGCACUUCAGCCUGGCUGUGUGAUGUGGGGGUGGGAGGGAGCAGCGGAUGUCACAUUCUCCUCACUAAAAUCCACGGCCUCCAGCACAGACUAGCUGUGGAGAUCCUGAACCACACGUGAACAAACAGGCUCAGCACAGAGGUCUCCAAUAUUUGGUAGAGUAGAGCAAGGACAAAGUUAUCCCCAUUGCCUCUGCCCCGCUGAGAGAUUGCCAUCCUGCACCAAGCGUCUGGGUUCAGUCACGGUGCAGCAAGAAGUUACUGCAGGAAGAAACUGAUUUUUAAUCUCAUUCCCCGCCUCCUCCACGGGAGAGCCCUACCCAAGCGAGAAGGCAGUGAGCUGGAGAGCAGGAACACCGCAUCAGCUGGACAGAAAAGCUCCAAACGGCAGCACCAGCCAGGGCCACCGUCUGCGGGGAAGAGCAGAAAUGCUCCCAGAGGCACGGGGUACUCUUGCAGCUGCAAUCCUCAGGAGAGGCCCCAGGGAUUUGGGGGGCAGCAUAGCCCGUCAAUGAAGAUCUUUCCCUUACCCAUAACAACCCACUCCCCGC